AAGGAAAGACUGGAAAGAGAAUCCCAGAAACAGAAGAAAAAACCUACUUUUUUUUUUUUUUUUUUUUUUUUAUUAUUUUUUUUUUU
rnacentral:ribozyme from 1 species